GAGAAGUUUGCUAUUAGGUUGGUGCAACAGUAACUGUGGUUUCUGCCAUUAAAAAGUAUGGCAAAAACCACAAUUACUUUUGCACUAACCUAAUAA
rnacentral:miRNA from 1 species